rnacentral:rRNA from 1 species
GACAGAGGGUGCAAACGUUGUUCGGAAUUACCGGGCGUAAAGCGUGCGUAGGCGGCCACGUAAGUCGGAUGUGAAAGCCCCAGGCUCAACCUGGGAAGUGCACUCGAUACUGCGUGGCUUGAGUAUCGGAGAGGUUGGUGGAAUUCUCGGUGUAGAGGUGAAAUUCGUAGAUAUCGAGAGGAACACCGGUGGCGAAGGCGGCCAACUGGACGAAUACUGACGCUGAGACACGAAAGCGUGGGGAGCAAACAGG